rnacentral:rRNA from 1 species
GGGCCCGCACAAGCGGUGGAGUAUGUGGUUUAAUUCGAUGCAACGCGAAGAACCUUACCAGGGUUUGACAUCCUGCGAAUCUCUUGGAAACAGGAGAGUGCCUUCGGGAACGCAGUGACAGGUGGUGCAUGGCUGUCGUCAGCUCGUGUCGUGAGAUGUUGGGUUAAGUCCCGCAACGAGCGCAACCCACGUCUUUAGUUGCCAGCAUUAGUUGGGCACUCUAGAGAGACUGCCGGUGAUAAACCGGAGAAGGUGUGGAUGACGUCAAGUCAUCAUGCCCCUUACAUCUGGGCUACACACGUACUACAAUGCUACGGACAAAGGCAGGCAAGUCAGUCGAGGAGAAGCAAAGUCCAAUCCAAAUACGUGGCUCAG